rnacentral:rRNA from 1 species
UACGUAGGGUGCAAGCGUUAAUCGGAAUUAUUGGGCGUAAAGAGCUCGUAGGCGGCUUGUCACGUCGGGUGUGAAAGCCCGGGGCUUAACCCCGGGUCUGCAUUCGAUACGGGCAGGCUAGAGUGUGGUAGGGGAGAUCGGAAUUCCUGGUGUAGCGGUGAAAUGCGCAGAUAUCAGGAGGAACACCGGUGGCGAAGGCGGAUCUCUGGGCCAUUACUGACGCUGAGGAGCGAAAGCGUGGGGAGCGAACAGG